rnacentral:lncRNA from 1 species
CCUCUUCCAUGCACCUGUGCUGUUUGCUCUCAGGUGGCUGCAAGCAAGUCCCUUUUCUCAGCCAGGCAGGAGGGAGUGGAGGAAGGGCCUGUGUGUCUCCUCAGUUUCAAAGAAACUCCCACGGCAGAGCGUGCUCUUGAACUAAAGCUUGAAUGAAUCAGAAACAUCUGGGCUGUUUUUUCUGUGCUUAAGAUACAGGAAACAGACCCAUCCAAAGCCGUUUGGGGUUUUAUCAAGGGGUCAUUUAAGAUGCAGAGCAACUUGAAAUCGCCCAUCUGUUGGAGAGCCGUGCGUGCUGACAGAGGACUUUGGCACCCCGUGAUGCUACCGUCCUGAGUGCCCCGGGGCCUGGCUGGUGUAAGCGUCUUCCUGAAUUCCCUCUUUCAUUCAAGCUCUAGAAUUGGGCGCCACUCUGUGCCAGGCGGCUGGGGCUAGACCCCGCUCCCCGGCUGAUGCUGUCCUGCCCCAGGGAUGCCUGGCCAGGCUCUUGCUGUGUCCACCACGCUCCAUCCACACCCCUCCAUCACAUUUCACCAGGGGCCCGGGCCAGAGACGCAUCCGACAUCCCAUCUGGGAACAACGGCCUCAAAGAAUGGGGAGCAGCGAGGGCCGCCAGACACUGAGUCCUUCUGGAUCUUUCUGGCCAGGCUCCUUCCCUGGCAUCUGGGCUCGGUGGGGGUGGUCUGCCCCCUCAUUCCCGCAGACCCUGGCCCCUGGCAGGGCCCCCAGUCUCCACCUGCCCUGUCUGUUUCCUCCCCAGUGUAACUAUGCUGUAGAAAUAUAUUUUGGCCACACCCUGCAUGAAGGUUCCAGUCUCUGUGUCUGUGGGAAGGGCUAAUCUGCGGCAAGAAGUGGUCCCUGGGAUGGAAAGAUCCUGACACAACGGAGGUUUGUGUCCUGCUCAUGCAACGGCUCUGCCUGGUGAGCCUGGCUUCCUGGCACUCACGCCCUUGCGGUUUCUUCCACGUAGUCCCAGGUGAGUCUGUGCGGCCGACAGCAUGCGGCAGAGUGCAGAUGGGUCACUUCCGAAACUGGGCUGGACAUGCCAGGUCUCCCUCCUGGUUGCUCUGUCUCCUGGGUCACGGGCUUGGGUGAAGCCAGCAGCCAUGCCGUGGGAACUCAGGCGACGCGAGAACAGAGCGAUCUCCCGAGGUGCACGGGACUCCAGACAACAGCCCGCAAGGACCAAAGCCUGCCAGCAGCUGUGCAGGACCCUCGAAAAGUCUCCUGGGGCCAAUAGAGCCCUCACACGGCAGCAGACUCUGGGGGCCUUGGGAGGAGUGGCUGCAUUUUGCUGGGAGAAUCACAGAAUCUCUGGGGCCUGAGGGCCCGGGACGGCCCAGAGACAAGGAGGUACUCAAAGCUGUGUGUCGUCCUCCCAUGCCGGGCCAGGUGUGUCCAUGUGACCAGAGCACAAGUGGAUGCCACUCCUGAGUCCAGGGCCUGAAGGACCCUGUGGCUUCCCUCUGGGUCACUCUGUCUGCCUUGGGUCACUCGUCCUGAAGGAAGCCAGCCACUGCGUGCGGGGCCCUGCGUGGAGAGGCCCUCAUGGUGAGGAGACGUCCGGCCCACAGCCACGAGGAGCC